ACUCAAAUGAAUUGACGGGACUCCGCACAAGCAGUGGAGCAUGUGGUUUAAUUCGAUGCUACGCGAAGAACCUUACCGAGGCUUGACAUCCCGGUCGCACUCCUUGGAAACAAGGAGGUCAGUUCGGCUGGACCGGUGACAGGUGCUGCAUGGCCGUCGUCAGCUCGUGUCGUGAGAUGUUGGGUUAAGUCCCGCAACGAGCGCAACCCUUGUCGUGUGUUGUAUUUUUCACACGAGACUGCCCGGGCCAACCGGGAGGAAGGUGGGGAUGACGUCAGGUCAGCAUGGCCCUUACGCCUCGGGCCACACACGUGCUACAAUGGCCGGCACAAUGGGUAUGCUAAGGCGCGAGCCGGAGCUAAUCCCAUCAAAACCGGUCUCAGUUCGGAUUGCAGGCUGCAACUCGCCUGCAUGAAGUUGGAAUUGCUAGUAACCGUGGGUCAGCAUACCACGGUGAAUACGUUCUCGGAGUUUGUACACACCGCCCGU
rnacentral:rRNA from 1 species